UCCUCCCGCACCCCCGCCACCCCCUCUCCUCUUCCUCCCGCGUCCCGCAUCACCUAUCUCCCUCCAAACCCUAACCCGCCCCCGCCUCCCUUCCCCGCUGCCGGCAGCCGCCGCUGCUUGCCCUAGGGAUGAGACAGUGUAGAGCGAGCAUCGAGUCGUUCCGCUCCCCCUCCCGCCUGCUCUCCUCUCCUCCACGCCCCUGCCACGAAAACCCUAGCCACCACUACCCAUUGCGUCUGCAGGCUGUAGCCGCCGCCGCUCUCGCGACGCCGACGGUGCUCUCUCCUUCUUCUCUCUGACCCGAGCCACCGCUCUCUUCUGCACCUCCGACCUCCUCCCCAUUGGAUUGCGACCGACCCACCCUUGUGCUCGAGUCAUGGAGGGGCAGCAGAUGGUGGUGGACAAGGAGAGGCACUGCAAGGUGCCAGAUGCAUCUACGCACAUCCACCUCUCCACCAUGACGCGCAAGAGGGGGAGACAGAGGGAAAGGGAGAGGGGGAGAGCUCAGGGCCCGAGCCGACGGAGGCCGACCCGCUGCAGCCACAUCAUGUGAUGCAGAGAAAAGGAGAAGAAGGGGAUGGAUCAGCAAGGAGCAAAAGGACAAGAAGAAUAAGGGCAAGGGAGGUGGGGCGAUAUGCAUGUCCAUGGAGCGGCAGAGGGCAGCAAGUGGAGAAAGAUGAAGGCUGCACAACACCAAGGUGUCUACAUUUAAGGAUAUUGAAUACAGUAUGUGACUAUGGCAAAAGGUUUUCCUUUCUUUCAGGUUAUCCGUGGGAGCAAUGUCAAAAGGUGACUUGCUUGAACCGAGUUAGCUAUAAGACUACCUUAAUUAUACCAGCGAGGAGCAUGACGAUGCCCGAGUUCAGCCCCGUUGGAGUUGGCAUUUUCUCACGGCAAGCUGCAGAUGUUGUCCGUGUUUUGUUUCUUUUCUCCUGCAGCAAACACAGACAGGCAGUUCGCUUAAAUCCGCAAAACAGUUCCUUCAGUAGACGAUAACAAGGGAGUCAGGUAACCUAUCUUUUCUUUUAUAUACUGCAGGCAGUUCUUUAAUUUGGGGAAAUAAGAUCAAAGAAAAGAUAGGUUACCUGAUGAUAUAGUUGGAGAAAGGGGUAUGAUAUAUUGUCGAUGACGUAAACUGCAAAAGGAUGCUCUUGGUGGCAGCAUCCUGGGCUUCUGAAACAUGCUCAUUUCAGCUGAAAGAAUGUAUUGUAAUUAUUGAGAGAGAUGGAAUUGUUUGGACCCCAGCGCCACCUUCACCAAUCAACGGCAUGCGAAGACACUACCACAAGAGCGUCGUUGCUUCUAGGAUGAAGAAUGAAUGCAUGUCAUUCAGGGAUAACUGCAGGCAAUGAAAUGUUGAAGGGUCCACCACCGGGAGGAGCGAGCAGAUCGACGACAUGCCAUUCGUGCCGCCACUUUCCUGUCGAUCUUGCGCCAAGUGCCGCACUCGGCUCUCCUCCUCGGAAAUCACCAACCACAUGAGAGAUCAAGCGCGAGCUGCCGGUAAACAACACCAGAGGCACUGCCCGCAGGGACUGACGAGGGCAACAUGGCGAUACCGCCGCAAUCGCUGUCACGGAACUGCAUCAGGUCUUCAAGCAGGAUUUUGAUAUCUCACCGCCGCCUCCGUGCACUGUGUCGCUGACCUCGCCUCCUCCUAGGCCGAGAUACACCAGGUCCGCAUCCAAGCGAUUGCAAAAGACGGCGAGGUUGAGUGUCUGACAGUAGAAAUCUCAGACCUGCACAAGUCUAAGUGCCAGUCACUAGAAUUGAUGGAGCAGAGGGACAAAGAUACAAGGGAGAAGGAUGUCGUCAUUCAGAGCUAGAAUUAUAAGACGCUGAGCUCCCCUAACGCCUUUACACUUUCACAAGUAAAUAUGUAGCCGUCAGCGAACUGGUUGUAUAGUUACUUGAGAGCACAGGCUCACGUGAACAAAUUGUCACUUGGUACAAUCUGGUAUAGUGGUGUUCAGGACUCAGUAUUUUUUAGCAUCAUACAUUGGCAGUAGUGGACAACUGAUUGCUGUUAGAGGAUUUAGUUACCGAAUUUAAGUAUAGGUUUGUUCAUGUAACUUGUUCAGCUUUAGAAUAGGAUUUUGAGCCUUACAAAAGAAAAGAGUGAGAUGAUUUGGUUUGGUUUGCUUAGCACCAAUGUGGUGAAAUGUUCAUGUAGAGAUGCACACAUAACUCCAUAUUGUGGAUGCCAUUUCUUAUUUUGACCAGUAAAUUUAUUGGAAGAACUUUGAUUGACUAGAUGGUUUUUAGUUGGUUGUGCAGAUUCAUUUGUGUACAUCGAGAUCUGAGAGGAAGAUGAGGAGACAGAGGGAGAAGGGGUGGGAAGAAGAGAGGGUGAAAGUAUCUUCUUGGGACUUCCAUGGCUAGGCUUCUUAUUGCUAAUGUGAAAUUGCUAAAGUAGUUGUAUUUUGUGAUUUGUGCACACAAUACUUUCUGCAACAUAAUUUUCUUACAAGUAAUUUGAAAUGAAUCAUUUGUUGAUCUUUA